rnacentral:rRNA from 1 species
AGAGUUUGAUUCUGGCUCAGAACGAACGCUGGCGGCGUGCUUAAUACAUGCAAGUCGAACGAGAAAGUCUGACUUCGGUUGGGCGAGUAAAGUGGCGAACGGGUGAGGAACACGUGGAUAAUCUGCCCUUAAAUCUGGGAUAAUCCUUCGAAAGGAGGCCUAAUACCGGAUGACACCGCGCGAUGGCAUCAUUGUGCGUUCAAAGGCGGGGCAACCUGCCGUUUAGGGAUGAGUCCGCGUUCCAUUAGCUAGUUGGUGGGGUAAAAGCUCACCAAGGCUACGAUGGAUAGCCGGCCUGAGAGGGUGACCGGCCACACUGGGACUGAGAUACGGCCCAGACUCCUACGGGAGGCAGCAGUAGGGAAUAUUGCGCAAUGGACGAAAGUCUGACGCAGCAACGCCGCGUGGGUGAUGAAGCAUUUCGGUGUGUAAAACCCUGUCAGUGGGAAAGAAACGUACGGGUAGUAACUGACUCGUGCCUGACGGUACCCACAGAGGAAGUCCCGGCUAACUCCGUGCCAGCAGCCGCGGUAAUACGGGGGGGACAAGCGUUGUUCGGAUUUACUGGGCGUAAAGGGCGCGUAGGCGGACCGUCAAGUCGGAUGUGAAAACUGGCAGCUUAACUGCCAGCCUGCAUUUGAUACUGUCGGCCUUGAGUACAGGAGAGGAGAGUGGAAUUCCAGGUGUAGCGGUGAAAUGCGUAGAUAUCUGGAAGAACACCAGUAGCGAAGGCGGCUCUCUGGACUGAUACUGACGCUCAAGCGCGAAGGCUUGGGGAGCAAACAGGAUUAGAUACCCUGGUAGUCCAAGCGGUAAACUAUGGGUACUAGGUGUCGGGGGUAUCGACCCCCUCGGUGCCGAAGCUAACGCAUUAAGUACCCCGCCUGGGGAGUACGAUCGCAAGAUUGAAACUCAAAGAAAUUGACGGGGGCCCGCACAAGCGGUGGAGUAUGUGGUUCAAUUCGAAGCAACACGCAGAACCUUACCUGGGCUUGACAUGUACAGGACAACCGGUGAAAGUCGGUCUCCUCUUCGGAGGUCUGUGCACAGGUGCUGCAUGGCUGUCGUCAGCUCGUGCCGUGAGGUGUUGGGUUAAGUCCCGCAACGAGCGCAACCC